CUGUGUUCUGCCUUGGUUUCUCCGGGGCUUUUCUCCAUGAUACUUAAACACAUGAUAAAGGAGGUCAUUAAUGUCCCAAAAUGAUCAAUAACUCAUUUUCGACCAAAAACGAAGUUGGUGUUCUGUCUUUGCAUGGCAGCACUGCUGUCACUAUAGAGGGGCGUGGUUUCAGCUCAGCUUCACCCACGUCCCGCCUUUUUGCCCAUUUUCGAUUAUCCGGGAGUGACUCGCGGUGACGCGCUUCCAAGAUGGCGGCGGUCGGCUCCGCCCACUUUAGGCUUCAAAAACGCUUUACAGAAACCUACGGGUGACGUCACGGACACUACGUCCAUUUUUUUUUACAGUCUAUGGUUAAUACCCAUCUCCAGCUACUGGCCCUACUGUUGCUAUUUUUUACCACAGCACAACUCUGAAUAGACGACUCGGAAAAUAAAAUACUGAUAUGAUGACCACAUCAGCUACUGAAAGAGCUUACAGGUGGCGAUUGAUAUAAGUAUAGGUUUAAACCAAAUGCUGUACCAUCGUUUUUUUCCCCACAAGGAGUGUAAACACCCCGGAUAUCGAGAGAAACCCGCGCUCUCUAGCGGCCGCGCGUCGGCAUGUUUCCAUCUAGCGUUUUGUUUCAGCCGUUUGUAAGCUCAAAGGCAUCAGGGCUAAAGUGGAAAGAACAAAGAAGGUCUUUAUGAAGUUUUAUUCGUCCACAGGCAUUCCCAUUCUUUUCUCCUCUUCUUAUCGCUAGGAAAACAGUGUCUUACAUCGCUUCUUUUGUUGCCCUUCGACUGAAAAUUACAACCAAAAGUCUCACAAUGUGGUAUAUCAGUAUUUUAUUUUCUGAGUUGUGUUGCGGUAAAAAGCGCCAGUAGCUCACUGAGUGGAGAGGGGUCUGUCUGCGGAUUGCAAGAGAGGGGCGUAACUUGAAGGGGGCGUAACGUGAAGCAGGAGGCGUAACUUGAAGUUGUUCAAAUCACACAGAACCACGCGAGAUGUUGAAACGAGAUGUUUUUUGGCAAGAUGGCCGCUCGCACAGAGACAACGCUUCAUCCAACGGUUUGUAGGGAAGGUACAUUAAAAAAUCCCAUUUCUGAAGGCCCGAACUACAAAUGCCAGUUCUGCAGCAAAAUAGGAGAGUAUGCAUAUGUUGCGGCACAUAUGCAAACCCACGAGAAGACCGCUGUUAAACAUGGAGGGUAUAAAAUGUACAGAUGCCACGGUGUUUGUUCCAAAAGCUGUCAUUAUCACUGCUGCUAUUGUGCGAGGAUUAUAACUCGGCAAAAUGUAUUUUUGAACCAUGUGCAGAAAUGUGGGUUAGCUGACGUGUCAACAGGUCCUUGUGUCUGCGCCCCCUCCAGCGUGUGUGCAACCUCCAGCGUCUG